GAUGAACGCCAGCUACAGGCUUAACACAUGCAAGUCGAGGGGAAACGACAUCGAAAGCUUGCUUUUGAUGGGCGUCGACCGGCGCACGGGUGAGUAACGCGUAUCCAACCUGCCCACCACUUGGGGAUAACCUUGCGAAAGUAAGACUAAUACCCAAUGACGUCUCUAGAAGACAUCUGAAAGAGAUUAAAGAUUUAUCGGUGAUGGAUGGGGAUGCGUCUGAUUAGCUUGUUGGCGGGGUAACGGCCCACCAAGGCGACGAUCAGUAGGGGUUCAGAGAGGAAGGUCCCCCACAUUGGAACUGAGACACGGUCCAAACUCCUACGGGAGGCAGCAGUGAGGAAUAUUGGUCAAUGGACGAGAGUCUGAACCAGCCAAGUAGCGUGCAGGAUGACGGCCCUAUGGGUUGUAAACUGCUUUUAUAAGGGAAUAAAGUGAGUCUCGUAAGACUUUUUGCAUGUACCUUAUGAAUAAGGACCGGCUAAUUCCGUGCCAGCAGCCGCCGUAA
rnacentral:rRNA from 1 species